AGAGUUUGAUCAUGGCUCAGGAUGAACGCUAGCUACAGGCUUAACACAUGCAAGUCGAGGGGCAGCAUGUUGGUUGCUUGCAACCAACGAUGGCGACCGGCGCACGGGUGAGUAACGCGUAUCCAACCUACCCUUGUCCAUCGGAUAACCCGUCGAAAGGCGGCCUAACACGAUAUGCGGUCCACGGCAGGCAUCUAAGGUGAACGAAAUGUGAAGGAGAAGGAUGGGGAUGCGUCUGAUUAGCUUGUUGGCGGGGUAACGGCCACCAAGGCUACGAUCAGUAGGGGUUCUGAGAGGAAGGUCCCUCACAUUGGAGCUGAGACACGGUCCAAACUCCUACGGGAGGCA
rnacentral:rRNA from 1 species